UUCCGGUUGAUCCCGCCGGAGGCGACCGCUAUUGGAAUUCGAUUAAGCCAUGCGAGUCGAGAGUCUUAGGGACUCGGCGUACCGCUCAGUAACACGUGGGUAACCUGCCCUGUGCUGGGGAAUAACCUCGGGAAACUGAGAAUAAUGCCCCAUAGUUCACCACGCCUGGAACGGUGGGUGGAUCAAAGCUCCGGCGGCAUAGGAUGGGCCUGCGGCGUAUCAGGUCGUAGGGGGUGUAAUGUACCCUCUAGCCAUCGACGCGUACGGGUGUUGGGAGACAUUGCCCGGAGAUGGAUUCUGAGACACGAAUCCAGACCCUACGGGGUGCAGCAGGCGCGAAAACUUGGCAAUGCGAGAAAUCGUGACCAGGGAACUCCAAGUGCAUCGGGUAAGACCGAUGCUUUUCUUGACUCUUCAAAGGUCUUGGAAUAAGGGGUGGGUAAGGACGGUGCCAGCCGCCGCGGUAAUACCGGCGCCUCAAGUGGUAGUCGCUUUUAUUGGGCCUAAAACGUCCGUCGCCUGUUUGGUACAUUCGUGGGUAAAUCAAGCCGCUCAACGGCUUGAAUUCUGCGAGGACGGCCAGACUAGGGACCGGGAGAGGUAUGGGGUACUCUCAGGGUAGGGGUAAAAUCCAGUCAUCCUGAGGGGACCACCUGUUGCGAAGGCGCCAUACUAGAACGGAUCCGACGGUCAGGGACGAAGCCUAGGGGCACGAACCGGAUUAGAUACCCGGGUAGUCCUAGGUGUAAACGCUGUGGACUUGGUGUUGGGGACUCUACGAGUGUCCCCAGUGCCGGAGUGAAGAUGUUAAGUCCACUGCCUGGGGAGUACGGUCGCAAGGCUGAAACUUAAAGGAAUUGGCGGGGGAACACCGCAACCUGAGGAUUGUGCGGUUUAAUUGGAUUCAACGCCGG
rnacentral:rRNA from 1 species